GACGAACGCUGGCGGCGUGCUUAACACAUGCAAGUCGAACGGUAAGGCCCUUCGGGGUACACGAGUGGCGAACGGGUGAGUAACACGUGGGUGAUCUGCCCUGCACUUCGGGAUAAGCCUGGGAAACUUGGUCUAAUACCGGAUAGGACCACUGCCUGCAUGGGUGGUGGUGGAAAGCUUUUGCGGUGUGGGAUGGGCCCGCGGCCUAUCAGCUUGUUGGGGGGGUGAUGGCCUACCAAGGCGACGACGGGUAGCCGGCCUGAGGGGGUGACCGGCCACACUGGGACUGAGCUACGGCCCAGGCUCCUACGGGAGGCAGCAGUGGGGAAUAUUGCACAAUGGGCGCAAGCCUGAUGCAGCGACGCCGCGUGAGGGAUGACGGCCUUCGGGUUGUAAACCUCAUUCAGCACCGACGAAGCGCAAGUGACGGUAGGUGCAGAAGAAGGACCGGCCAACUACGUGCCAGCCGCCGCGGUAA
rnacentral:rRNA from 1 species